rnacentral:rRNA from 1 species
UACAGAGGUCUCAAGCGUUUGUUCGGAUUCAUUGGGGCGUAAAGGGUGUGUAGGUGGCGCGCUAAGUCGGGUGUGAAAUUUCGGAGCUUAACUCCGAAACUGCAUUCGAUACUGCGGUGCUUGAGGACUGGAGAGGAGACUGGAAUUCAUGGUGUAGCAGUGAAAUGCGUAGAGAUCAUGAGGAAGACCAGUGGCGAAGGCGGGUCUCUGGACAGUUCCUGACAGCUGGAGAACACGAAGGCCCAGGGGAGCAAACGGG